rnacentral:lncRNA from 1 species
CUCUGUGUACUUACUCGCUCCAUGUUUAAACCCUAGCCGUCUUUGAUUUCCUACUUGAGUGCUUCUGCUACAUGAUUGUUCUACUAAUUCCAGUCCUGCAUGUUCGAAUUUCUCCAUCUCCUUAUAUAGUUCUAUUUUUCCUCUUUCUGAUAGCCCUAAUUUUGGGAAAAUUGAUUUCUGUUGAAUUCGUUUGAUUUUCUAAUUUGGACAUGCUCUUUAACCAAGUGAAAAAUAAAUUAGUAUCUCAAUUCCUUGAUUUUCUAUAUGACUGGCUUGCCUUAUGUAUUAAACGUGUGAAUUUCAAGCCCAU